GAUUUCGCUAGUCCUCUCUGGCUGACGCUGUGUGUGAGCUCUGGCUAAACACGCUGGCCACGGACAGCUGCCGGAAGAGUGAGCCUGCGUGGACUUCCGGGGGGCCCUAGAGCCCGGGCUGCGUUUCAAACCGCACCUGCAAUUCCUGGUGUCCUUCAGCGUGGACGCUCCCACGGCAUGCUGGGAAGUGUGCACCUAGGGCUUUCUUGCUGACUGCUGCCCCCUCUGGCCAUCGCGGGAACUGCACCCCCUUCCUCGCAGCGUCCUGCAGCUCUGGGUCCCUUGUCACGCCAUCCACUUCCCGGUCCUCCAAGUCCUCCCUGGGUGGCCCUUGGUUGCAUCUCCAGGGCCAGAGUCUGCCGGAGUCGGACUGGCGUGUGGGGGCAGUCACUGCAGGCUGCCUGGGUAAAGCGAAGGUGACACGUGGGGGGCAGCUCCACGGACCCAGG
rnacentral:lncRNA from 1 species